AAUGAACGUUGGCGGCGUGGAUUAGGCAUGCAAGUCGAGCGAGAACCCAGCAAUGGGGGACAGCGGCGAAAGGGAUAGUAAUGUGUAGAUCAUCUGCCCUCAGGCCCGGGAUAGCUGCGGGAAACUGCAGGUAAUACCGGAUAAUAUCUCCGGAUCAAAGGUGUGAUUCCGCCUGGGGAUGAGUCUACAUCCUAUUAGCUAGUUGGUAGGGUAAUGGCCUACCAAGGCAUUGAUGGGGUAGCGGGUGUGAGAGCACGACCCGCGUCAUUGGGACUGAGACACUGCCCAGACACCUACGGGUGGCUGCAGUCGAGAAUCUUCGGCAAUGGGCGCAAGCCUGACCGAGCGACGCCGCGUGCGGGAUGAAGGCCUCGGUU
rnacentral:rRNA from 1 species